GCCUGCUAGCCGCGGUAUCUUAACCGUGCUAAGGUAGCAUAAUCAUUAGUCUCUUAAUUAGAGGCUGGAAUGAAUGGCAAGACGAGAAAAUAGCUGUAUUUGAAUUUCAUUUUUAAGUGAAAAAGCUUAAAUGAAUUUAAAGGACGAUCAGACCCUAUAGAGCUUUUUUGUUGGGGCGACAAUUAAUGAUCCUUGAAGAAAGAUCAAAAGUCUAAGUUACCUUAGGGAUAACAGCGUAAUUUUUUUGGAGAGUUCUUAUCGAUAAAAGAGUUUGCGACCUCGAUGUUGGAUUAGGAAAAUGGCAAAGCGCAGAAGUUUUGUAAAUAAGUCUGUUCGACUUUUAAAUUCCU
rnacentral:rRNA from 1 species